AGAUCGAACAUCAAGUGACCUUAGAAGAGCUACAGAACUUGAGUGCACUUUUUCAGGAGUAUGAAAAGAGAGGAAGACAGUUGCUGGACAUGGAAACUUUCAAAUGCAUAAUGAAACAGAGUAUGAGGUCGCAGAAUAAAAAUAUUGAACAAAUACAACAACUUUUCAUGAAAAUAGACUAUGACUCAGUGGGCAGAAUUCAAUGGG